CCUACGGGUGGCAGCAGUGAGGAAUAUUGGUCCAUGGACGAGAGUCUGAACCAGCCAAGUAGCGUGAAGUAUGACUGCCCUUUGGGUUGUAAACUUCUUUUAUCAAGGAAUAAAACGAGGCACGUGUGCAUUUUUGCCUGUACUUUAUGACUCAGGAUCGGCUAACUCCGUGCCAGCAGCCGCGGUAAUACGGAGGAUCCGAGCGUUAUCCGGAUUUAUUGUGUUUAAAGGGAGCGUAGAUGGGUUGUUAAGUCAGUUGUGAAAGUUUGCGGCUCAACCGUAAAAUUGCAAUUGAUACUGGCAGGCUUGAGUACAGUUGAGGGAGGCAGAAUUCGUGGUGUAGCGGUGAAAUGCUUAGAUAUCACGAAGAACCCCGAUUGCGAAGGCAGCUUACUAAACUGUGACUGACAUUGAUGCUCGAAAGUGUGGGUAUCAAACAGGAUUAGAUACCCUAGUAGUC
rnacentral:rRNA from 1 species